rnacentral:other from 1 species
AGUUGUCAGAGAGAAGCGACAAUUUUGUUCUCAUAUAAAACCGACGAAAUUGACGAUAAGGGAGUUCCGAUCAGUUAUCUGUGUUGAAGACCUACUAUAAGUAGGGAUCCUAAGGAUAGCGUACGAACACCCACCUGUAUAUAUGCAGGUUUUAUCGUUGGACAAAACCGCUCUUUCUGACUUUUU